UACAGAGGUCCCAAGCGUUGUUCGGAUUCAUUGGGCGUAAAGGGUGCGUAGGCGGCGGCGUAAGUCGGGUGUGAAAUCCCAGGGCUCAACCCUGGAACUGCACUCGAUACUGCGUCGCUGGAGGACUGGAGAGGAGACUGGAAUUCACGGUGUAGCAGUGAAAUGCGUAGAUAUCGUGAGGAAGGCCAGUGGCGAAGGCGAGUCUCUGGACAGUUCCUGACGCUGAGGCACGAAGGCCAGGGGAGCAAACGGG
rnacentral:rRNA from 1 species